CUCCACCUUGGAAGCCCUUUGAGGAAAGGGAAAAAAGAAGGGUACAAGCCUUCCUGGAAAAAGAACAUUUUUGCAGUCAAGUUACACGGAAACAACAUCAAAAGAGCUUUUCAGUUGUCCAUCCUUCAUCAUUUAAUGAGGACUUCUUAAAGAUGAUGUGAGAAGGAGCAAACCUGAAGAGCAAUUAGCUUUUUGCAGGCUCCUGAAAAGGCCAAUCCAAGUGAUGAUGAACCUGAUUCAUGCUAGAGCAGAGACAGAGAUGAUAAACUGGUACCCUACAAGUGGGCUGAGAAUACAGGACAUAAGAGCAAACUGAAGAGCUUCACUUAAGAGAACUCUGGAGACAAAAAAUCAUUUCAAAGGGAUUCCCACAGCAUCUCAUUUCUAUCCCAAUGAAUGAUGCAGGUUAAUGAAAGGCAUAGACCAAAGAAAAAACUGAGAUCUAAUAGCAAAUGCUUAAAAAGAUGUGUGAUGCUGAUUCCUAGAAAUGAAGGGAUGGCAGGUUUGAAGCCACAUGAACAAAAAAAAACCCACUCCCACUCUGAAAAGGUGUGUGGCUGUUGAAGCUGUGAGGCCUGGAACACACCAAGACCGCGAUACAUGGAUGCUUAAUCCACCUCUCCAGUGUUCCCUUACUGGAGGCAGAUAACCUGACCCAGCCCAUCCCAAACCCACUGACCCAGACACAGGGUGAACCUGCCUCAGGGUCAGACUAGAGGUUUGGUUUUGUGUCCUGCUCCCACUAGAAUAGGUCUUGUGGUAGAGAACAUACACCACAUUCAUAGUAUUUCCACUCCUGAGGGUCCAUUUCCCUUUCUUGGCCUUCCUUUCCAACAUUCUUCUAUCUACCUUCCACCUUCUGUUUUCCCCCCACGUAAACACCUGAACUCAUCAUUUUUUUCUCAGUUAGUACUAGUUUUGAUUAAAAAUACAUUAUUUCUCAUCCCAUUUGCUCAGCAAACUUGGCAUUAUAUAAUAUUGCUGAUGGUUACCUGAGAGCUGUUUGCCUUACAGCACUGUACUCCCACAAACGUCUCCAACACUCCCCUCCAAUUAUCUGUGGAGUUUGGCAUUUGUUCACAUCCUCCCACUUAACCACCUGUGAUAUUUAGGCACCUGUCACAACUCUAACUUUGCUUGCUUCCUACACAGGUACUUGGUUUGUUCAGCAACUUCUGGUGUCCUGCCCAGCAGAUUUUCACUUCCUGUUCCAUCACUAAUUCUGAGCCAGGUCCUCCUCAUCACCCUUAAGGCUCACUCACAAUCUUGAAAAUGUGUCCACACACAGUGACUGAUGUGGGCUGUCCUGGUCCAGUCCAUCUCCCAUUGUUUGAAGAAGGCACGCAGUUAUGAUGAGCUGGGAUGGUGUCUUGCUGAUAUCUUCAGAGCCUUUCUUCCACUUCAGCCCCCAGGUUAAGCAUAUAUCCUUUCAAAGGGGUUGGUGGUGGGAAAGCCAUGUCAACACCUCCUUAGUUUAGGGAAGCAGUUGUAAGACAACUUUUAAUAUCAGUGAUCUUAGUACUUGACUUCCCAGCUGAUUGGUUGUGAUGUGUUUGCAACCUUCAUCUCUCUGGAAGGUUGGAUUCCCACAUCUUCCACUCAUCUGCCUGUGAUUGAGGCUCUGAAUUUCUGCUCUUCCCUGCAGUCACACAAAUCACAGAGACAGAAAGGCCACAAACAAUAUCUUCCACAUAUUUAUGAUGAGACUUUGUAUCACUGAAAACCAUGCUCUCAGUCUGCAUGGUGAACAAAACAGCAGGUGAGUAAAAUAUAGUAAGUUUAGUUCUAUCCCUACUUUACAGCAAUAAGUAAAAAGGCAGAAGGUAUGUAUUUAUGACUGCUAUCAGUGCAGCUACCAAAACAGGACAGAUUUUUCUGAAUUUAAAAAUCCCCAGACACUGCCCACUCAUUGCUUCUGCUUGCACAAGCCUCCUGUGAAAUAUAAGUAAACAACACAUCACCCAGGCCCAUAUUCUCAGGUGAACACCUUUCAAUAACUUGCAGGCUCUUGAAACAAACUUUUCCUUAAUAUCUUAGAAAACUGAGAUAGCUGAGUGAACUAUAUGUGCUCAUUAACAAGGGCUAUAUAGUGUAUUAAAAUGAGGUGACAGAAGCUGUAUUUGAAGGUGGAAAAGAUCCUCCCAUGGUACAGUCUUGUGCUGCAGCAGUGCUGGUGAGAAGCUGUGUGGCAGGUCAAUGACCUGGACAUUCAUACUGAUUUACCUUUACUAACUCAGCUGUCUGAUAUAUUGUCAUCAUUUAUUUUUUGGCCUCAACAGUUUAAUUUUUAAGGAACAAUGGCUAAAUGAACAUUGCUGU